rnacentral:rRNA from 1 species
UAGUCCACGCCGUAAACGAUGAUCACUAGAUGUUGGUUUGACUUCGGUUAGAUCAGUGUCGUAGCUAACGCGAUAAGUGAUCCGCCUGGGGAGUACGGUCGCAAGAUUAAAACUCAAAGGAAUUGACGGGGGUCCGCACAAGCGGUGGAACAUGUGGUUUAAUUCGACGCUACGCGAGAAACCUUACCUAGGUUUGACAUGUACAUGCCCGUCGUAGAAAUACGAUUUUCUUAGUUUACUAAGACGUGUACACAGGUGCUGCAUGGCUGUCGUCAGCUCGUGUCGUGAGAUGUUGGGUUAAGUCCUUUAACGAGCGCAACCCUUGUCGUUAGUUGCUAGUCUUCGGACGCACUCUAGCGAGACUGCCUUGGAAACAAGGAGGAAGGUGGGGAUGACGUCAAGUCCUCAUGGCCCUUAUACCUAGGGCGACACACGUGUUACAAUGGCAAGUACAAAGGGCAGCAAGGCUGCGAAGUCGAGCGAAUCCCAAAAAGCUUGUCUAAGUUCGGAUUGG